GAUGCUUUUUAAAGGGAGAAAAGAGGCCGGCGCCCUAGGCAUUGGAAUCCCUCUCCUCUCCAGCCGUGGCCUCCUCUUUUCCCUUUGGUUUCAGCCGCCAUCAGCAAGGGAAGAAAACUCUUGGCGUCUCCCUCCUCUUGGGUUUCUUCCUUGGCUCGAACGCAUGAAAAGAGAAGAAGGCUGUCAAGGGCUUUGAUCUUCUUCCUCUUCUUCAUCCUUCUUCUUCCUCCUCUCAAGUACAUUCAAGAGUUGAAAGAAAGAGAGGAGAUCAGCCAUCAAAAGAUAUCUCUGCAAGGGAGCUAGCACCCCGGUGAGAUAGAGAGCUUGGAUCGGUUCCUGCUUCAUGUGGAUACCCGUAGAGGCCGGGCACUUGAACGGCUUCAAGCGAACCUCCAUCCUAAACUACGAACUUCAGUUUGCGGUGAUCAUCUACCCGCACAAGGUGAAGAUCUGAUCUUCUAAUGUUUUUAAAAAGUUUUUAAUCCUUACCUAACUACGAACGGUUAUCAAACGAUGUUCAUGCGAUGAACGUCGAUCCCGCACAUGCCCCUUCCGCUGCCAUCUGAUUUUGUUUUGAAAUAUCAGUGGCAUGGGCGGGUUCUAACAGUAAAUUCUCGGGAGUCCGAGGUCGAAUCCUCAGGGAACAAAAUAUAUAUGAGAUUAUUUAAUAUAAUUGUAGAUUAAUUAAUUCAAUAAAUUUACGGCUUAAGAUAAUGUUUUGCAAAUAGAAAAUAAAUCAGUAAACAGAGAAUCGAAAUUGGAUAGAUUAAGAUGGUGUAGGGAUCUGGAAUCCCCCUUGAUGAUAUUAUUUUCAACAAUUAAAUUCCGU
rnacentral:lncRNA from 1 species